UACUCAUUGUUUUGUCAGAGCCAUGACAACUGUCUUGACUUGCCUGAAGCCGACAGGCUGCGAAAAUAUAACGAAUUUGAGCUAAUCAUCACAGUGGCUAAGAGGUUUCUACAGAAUGGUUGUCUAACUACUGUUCCGCCAAGUCCUGCGUCAACACCUACAGCAGUUCCAAGAACAACAGUUCCACGAACAACUGUUCCACGAACAACAGUUCCAGUUCCAAGAACAACAGUUCCUCGAACAACAGUUCCAAGAACAGUAGUUCCAAGAACAACAGUUCCACCAAAGACUACGCCAAGAGUAAUUAUUGUUCCUCCAAGUCCUGCGUCAACACCUACAGCAGUUCCAAGAACAACAGUUCCAAGAACAACAGUUCCACGAACAACAGUUCCAGUUCCAAGAACAACAGUUCCAAGAACAACAGUUCCACCAAAGACUACGCAAAGAGAUGGAUCUGCUAGCGGUGUCACGGUGUCCGUCUGUUCGCUGUUACUCGUCUUCAUACCGUUUGUCGUCAAGUGAUUGACACAAUAUCAGAGAUGUGUGCUCCACCUUGAAUGGCGUCGUAAAAUUGACUGAAACUACACUAGGAGACCAGAUGACUCAACACUCUUUAGUUUGUAUUAUAUUUCCGAUUUCAUCGUCUGGAGAAUUACACCACACGCUGUGAAAGACCAAAACCUAGAUCACAUUUUAUCCUGUAACAUUGUUAUAAUUUAUUAAUUAAAUAACUUUGAAAGUUUUAA